GUGGUCAAGAUGGCGGCGCCCAGGCGGGCCGCGCCGAGGUGAGCUGGAGCCGGGCCCGGAGAGGGGCGAGUGUGCCACGCCCAGGACUUGGACCCCGGGCUGGUCUCCCGUCUCCCGGGGAGCGGCGGCAGGCUUUUCUUGGAGAACUGCCAGAUAAUGCCAUCCUGCCUCCUCACGGGCCCCGGGGAUGAGUCGCCCAGGGACUGAACUCCAGUAAAGCAGGUUGAUGGGCGCUACGGGAUAAGGAAAAGGAUGUGAAGCUCACUGAAGAGGCUUGGGUUGGGAGUGCUGGAGGAGUGUACAGGUGGGGAAAAUGUACCAGCGUGUAUGCCUACUGGGACCACGUUUUCCAGAACAGUUAAGCCCAGUGUCAACUGUGCUGUCCCACCUUCCUCUCUUAGUGAGAAGAGAGCAGGCUGAAUGGAAGAAAGUCAUUAUGACCACUGGGGCCACUAAGGCUGCAGGUUCGUAGUUCCUGCUGUUUUUGGUGUCUGCCCCCAAUGGCUAAGGAGAAUCUUGGUACCAGGACCACACAAUGAAGAACUUGGAGUCCCCAUGGCUAAUCCAGCAGAGAGAAAAGGAGGAACAGAGAUGCGAGAGAAAAUAAAGGGAACUCUUGGUGCAAUUCGGUGCUGCUGCAGGGCCAAGUCCAGACUCGCAGGCUUUCUGGACCUCUGAGGAAGAUAAGCACUUCACUGGAACCUCUGCUACAGAACCAAACAUAUUGAAAUGACUCUUUACGAAGAUACUGAAACAACAGAAAAAGAAUACAUGACGAUUGUUUCUCCUGAGGGUUCAGUUACCUAGGGGGCCUUUAGCAAACUUUGACUGAUAAAUGUAACCUUUCCUUCCUUGGCAAUAGUUGAUCACACUGUGAGGAAAACAAGUUAGAGAAUGGAAAAAUAAUAUUUGGAUUUCAACGAAAUAAUAAAGAUGCAGGGACUAUCUUUGACUUUUGCAAGGUGAGAAGAGAGUUUACAUUUUGAUUAUUUGAUGGCAGGAAUCCCUUUUAAAACAGGGCCAGUCUGCAUGAUGCAUUUAAAAAUCAACCUUUUCAAAUAUAGCCAUAACCCCCACAAGAUUUCUUGAUUUCUCUGGGGUCAGAUAAACCAUCACAUCUCACAGUGGUGCCCUGUAUAUGAAAGUGAUAAACAUAACCUGGAAGCACGGCAGUGGCUAAAAAUAUGGAGCUGGUAGCCAUUCCCUGAAAGGAUUUUUUGCUUUUAAUUCAUUGCAUAAAAUGCUAAUGUCCAAAUUCAGGCAGGUAGAUCUUACCAACCAUCAAGAGCUUCAGCCCUGCUAACAGCUAAGUAUGCACUUUUAAACCCUACUUUGACUGCUCCAGAAACUUACUGGGUUUCUUUAAUGCCUCUGUUACUAUUUCCUUUGUGUCUUUUUCUUUAAAAACAUAGCUGUGUGAUCUUGGGGAAGUUAUAUUAUUUCCUUGAGACUUGGUUGCCUUCUCUGUGAAUAUCUGGGUAUAAUUUUAGUAUUGCUCAAUAGAAUUUUUGGUGAUAAUGAAAAUAUUCUAUAUCUGUAUCAUGCAAUGCAGUAUUCAAUAGCUACAUGGAGCUAAUAAACAUCUUUGGAAUAUGGCAAAUACAACUGAGGAAC